AUUGAACGCUGGCGGCAGGCCUAACACAUGCAAGUCGAGCGGAGCGGCGGACGGGUGAGUAAUGCCUAGGAAUCUGCCUGGUCGUGGGGGAUAACGUCCGGAAACGGGCGCUGAUACCGCAUACUAUCAGAUGAGCCUAGGUCGGAUUAGCUAGUUGGUGGGGUAAAGGCCUACCAAGGCGACGAUCCGUAACUGGUCUGAGAGGAUGAUCAGUCACACUGGAACUGAGACACGGUCCAGACUCCUACGGGAGGCAGCAGUGGGGAAUAGUGCACAAUGUGCGCAAGCCUGAUGCAGCCAUGCCGCGUGUGUGAAGAAGGCCUUCGGGUUGUAAAGCACUUUCAGCGGGGAGGCGUUACCCGCAGAAGAAGCACCGGCUAACUCCGUGCCAGCAGCCGCGGUAAUUC
rnacentral:rRNA from 1 species